GCUGGGCAUGGUGGUGCAUGCCUGUAAUCCCAGCCACUCGGGAGGCUGAGGCAGGAGAAUCGCUUGAACUCAGGAAGCAGCGGUUGCAGUGAGUCGAGAUCGUGCCACUGCACUCCAGCCUGGGUGACAGAGGGAGACUCUGUCUCAA
ensembl:misc_RNA Metazoa_SRP Metazoan signal recognition particle RNA